rnacentral:rRNA from 1 species
AUUGAACGCUGGCGGCAGGCCUAACACAUGCAAGUCGAACGAGUGGCGGACGGGUGAGUAAUGUCUGGGCAACUGCCCGAUGGAGGGGGAUAACUACUGGAAACGUUAGCUAAUACCGCAUACCCUCGGAUGUGCCCAGAGGGGAUUAGCUAGGGGGUGGGGGAACGGCUCACCUAGGCGACGCUCCCUAGCUGGUCUGCGAGGAUGACCAGCCACACUGGAACGGAGAAACGGUCCAGACGCCUACGGGAGGCAGCAGUGGGGAAUAUUGCACAAUGGGCGCAAGCCUGAUGGAGCCAUGCCGCGUGUAUGAAGAAGGCCUUCGGGUUGUAAAGUACUGUCAGCGGGGAAGCGUUACUCGCAGAAGAAGCACCGGCUAACUCCGUGCCAGCAGCCGCGGUAAUAC